CGGACCGGCGCACGGGUGAGUAACACGUAUGGAACCUGCCCGCAGCAGGGGGAUAAGCGGAAGAAAUUCCGUCUAAUACCGCGUAACACCGCAGAGGGGCAUCCCUCGGCGGUUAAAGAUUCAUCGGCUGCGGAUGGCCAUGCGGCGCAUUAGCUAGUCGGGCGGGGUAACGGCCCACCGAGGCGACGAUGCGUAGGGGUUCUGAGAGGAAGGUCCCCCACACUGGUACUGAGACACGGACCAGACUCCUACGGAAGGCAGCAG
rnacentral:rRNA from 1 species